AUUCACCAAUCACCACCCAUGCAUGAGAAGACAGAAUAUGUAUAUUUCAUUUCUGAUAUACUGACGAGUUUUAUGGUAGUGAAGUCAUUAGUCAUCUGAAGAUAUCGUGAGAUUUAUAGUUCGAGAUCUAAUCGGAGCUUAAUGAAUCAAUGAAUAUUGAAAUGACACAGGAGGAGGUUUUUAUCUCACCUGAGUGGUGCAG
rnacentral:misc_RNA from 1 species